rnacentral:tRNA from 1 species
GUCCUUGGUGGCUCAGAUGGAUAGAGCAUCUGCCAUGUAAGCAGGAGAUCCCAGGUUCGAGUCCUGGUCGGGACA